rnacentral:tRNA from 1 species
AAGGGAGACCUAAUUCAGGUAGGAGACGAAAAAAAAGUAGUCCCAACCAAGAAUCAAUCCCAAAAGGUCGGAGCGAGGCGAAAUUGGCCUUCAAACUAGGUUCUGGGUUCACACAAGACCUGAAUCAGGAACAAGGGCUAUUAGCUCAGGUGGUUAGAGCGCACCCCUGAUAAGGGUGAGGUCCCUGGUUCGAGUCCAGGAUGGCCCACCUGCACAGGUGGCAAAAACAAGAGAAGCGAGGAAUCAGCACCUUAUCUUAUCUAUAUAUAUAUAGGAGAGAAUGCUGGCUCUGAGUAAAGAGUCCAGAGGAACCUUGAAAACUGCAUAGAGCUAGGUGAAAAAGCCAAAAAAGAAGACCGCAA